rnacentral:snoRNA from 1 species
GUAGUGCCUCAGUUGGAAGUUGAUGUCAUAGAAACAAAUCUCGGAGUAUAUUUAACACCAUCAUAGGCACACA